ACAAAAACAAAAGAAUCACUCAAGAUAGAGAAUGGUAUAAU
rnacentral:guide_RNA from 1 species